rnacentral:rRNA from 1 species
UACGUAGGGUGCGAGCGUUAAUCGGAAUUACUGGGCGUAAAGCGUGCGCAGGCGGUUUUGUAAGCCAGAUGUGAAAGCCCCGGGCUCAACCUGGGAAUGGCAUUUGGGACUGCAAGGCUCGAGUGCGGCAGAGGAGACUGGAAUUCCUGGUGUAGCAGUGAAAUGCGUAGAUAUCAGGAGGAACACCGAUGGCGAAGGCAGGUCUCUGGGCUGACACUGACGCUCAUGCACGAAAGCGUGGGGAGCAAACAGG